rnacentral:lncRNA from 1 species
AUGAAGGAUAUGGUGCUCUAUUUGUAAUAGAAACUUUCAAGGCUCUUCCAGCUCCCUUUCUCUUCGUUCUUUAGCUGUAGUCACGAGUUCUCGCUCCAUGAUUUUCAAGAUCAAUUCCCAUUAAAUUGCAAAGUGGAUACUUUCUAAAAGACACAUGAAUAGUUAUUAAUGAUCCUAUUCCCCCACAAUGAUUCUCCCAAGCCUGUCACUUGCCUGUUUGAGCUGUGGUAAAUGGGUCAAAAGAGGAGUUCAGUCUUAAGGAGCAGACUCUGUCACAAAACACCGUGGCCCAUAGGAAGAGCAGACCCAGACUCACUCUGGAGUCAGCUUAUCCGUUGCUCCAAUCCUCCCUUUUAGUUUCCUGAGCCUGGCUUGGACCUUGGCAUUCCGUUUGAAUUCCUUCUUCUAACUGGAACAUUUGUGUUGUAUCUGUAACACUGGCACUGAAAUAAAGACCACACGGUUAAAGAAAUCGUUCCCACAUUGUACUUUAUGGUGUUGAAAUGAAGCUUUGUAGCUUCCUUGCCCCCUAUGUGAGAGCAAGUCUUACGGUCACCAUAGGGUAGGAAUGUCCUUUCCUGAGUAUGAGAAAUUGGUCUCUUAAGAAACCAAUCUCAUGAACAUUCGAAUUAAAGGUUUGAGCUUUUUAAACAGUAAGAGUGCCGAGUGUUUUUUAGAAAAGACCCCAAUAUUACCAAAUCUUUAUGUUGAAUUGUUGGAAUGAGGUGAAGGUGAUUGUCUGUGGUACACGUUGAAUGUACUAUGUAUGUUCAGGUAUUCAGGCAUCAUGUCCAGUUUACUGCAGGAGAAAGUAAAAGUGGGCCCCCUUGCUUGUAAAGCGUUUGCAGUUGUUACUGUAUUAUGCAGUAAGACGACACUUUGGCUUCAGUUUUAACUCUUGAUACAAAUCUCCCUUUCUCCCUGCUCCAUUUCACCACGCCUUUACUUAAAUUCUUCAGUGUCUUGUCAAACCUAGCUCUGUAUCAGAUGCUAGACUAUUCCUAACAUUGACAAACUGGAGUUGAACUAAAGGCUCCAAAAGGGAAAGUUUCUGGUCUUAAUAGUCCUGUAAGAGCAAGAUUUACUGAAAUUUACUUGACUGGGUAAAUGGACAUCUGAGUUACAAACAGGAUAUUUCUCCUGUGUUCAGCAAAACAGGUGUGGACAAGUGCAGACUUUAGACAGCCGCUCUGCCUGAUCAGUGGGAGCCGUUAGGAUUUCCUGCAGACGGAUUUCAUUGGAUGCAUAGUUAAUGCUGUGAAACGUGAUAGGAUUAAUGCUGUAUUGGUGGAUUUCUUGAAUAGAAUUUUGUCUUAACAUUCCUUUUUUGUGUGGAGGCUUUAUUUUCUCCAUUUGUAGCUAACCAGCUCAGGUUUUUUGGUUGCUUUUUGUUGUUGUUGUUGUUGAACUGAGUUGAAUCUGAAGAAAUCUGCUCAAGACCAAGUGCUAGCCGAUGGAGCUGGAAAGAUCUCCUCUGUGGACAAAGCCUCAGCCCGGGUGAUGAGUUUGGAGGUAGCAUUUACAAUCAUCCAUGGCUUUAUCGAGAAGGAAAAAAAAAAUCAUGGCCUUAACACAAAGGGUGCUGUGUAGAUAUGGAGUUCAUUUGGGAGACGACCUGAACACCAUACUGACGGACUAGCAGCCAGAUGCCUGCCUAGGAUGCUGACGGUUGUGAAGACUGUCCCCUGUGAUUGGAUCUUUGAAAGCUUCAGCGUGCCUUCUUAGUUUCUAGGAGCAUUAGUUCUCUUCUCACUCGGCCUUGCAGCUUAAAGGAGGAAUCUCUUCGUUUCUGUGACUACGCGCGCACAUUUCAGUCAUUCCUUUCCCACACGUGACCCUUCAAGAGGAAACAGAUUUGGAUGUAUAUGACAACCUCGGAGCCUUUGUGAAGAGAGUGAUUUCUGUGACUUUUGAAUAAAGCCAAGGUGAUAAGCAGUGAGCCCCACUUAUUGACAGUUUUAUACGCACUUGUACCUCAUUAGCAUCGCCUUCCUCGAGGAGUAGUUUUUAUGUCAUCCUUCUUUCCCAUCCCAGAGUCACCCUAAGGGAGAGUUCCUCUAAGUAAUCUCAGACAACUGUACACGCUUCUCCCACAAUGCUUUGGUGCUGUUACCUUGAGAUGGUUUAGGGAGUCAUGGAGGUUUUCUGCUGUGUAUGUUAUCAUCUGUUAAACUUCGAGGUGUUUUGGUUUUUUUUUUGGUUGUUGUUUUUUGGUUUUUUCAUUUAAAGCAACAUUCCUCAGUGUAACAGUACAGGUAUUCCUUGCUUGGUUCCUGGUGUGGCUCUUAACCUUUGUUUGUUUCCCUCACAUAUGAAAACAGACUUUUAAAACUGUCCAGCACUAAUAGUUUGAAAUUUUCCAUCUCCC